UGCUCCAAGAGUUUAUAUAUGUGUUGCUGCAGUUGAAAAGCUCGUAGUUGGGAGUUGGAGUUGUUGGGUUGGUGGUUUUGGCGUUUGGGAUUCUGUCCCAGCGCCGGUUAAAUACGUGCAUCAGUACGUGGCCACCCCCAUCCACUUUUUUUUGUUCAAUUGGUGGUGUGAGUUUUCUCAUCACCUCCAUUUUUGAACGUGUUACUUUGAGUAAAUCUGAGUGUUCAAAGCAGACGAGUUUCAUUCGUCUUGAAAGUUGUAGCAUGGAAUAACGUGAUAGGACUCCGGUGGCCCUUUUCAGUUGGUCUAAGCCGUUCCGGAGUAAUGACUAAGAGGGACAGUCGGGGGCACUCGUACUUCCUUGUCAGAGGUGAAAUUCUUGGAUUUAGGAAAGACGAACCACUGCGAAAGCAUUUGCCAAGGAUGUUUUCA
rnacentral:rRNA from 1 species